CUUGAUCAGUGUAGAGAAUGCAGCUUACCUUGCAGAUUAUCAGGGUUUAAGUGUAAUUGAUGUAAUUUUUGAUUCCUUAGACAAGUCUGGUUACAAUAACCAGACAAUCCAAAAAGUAAUGAUCCAGUCCACCAACAGCUCUGUUCUGAAGGUAUUUAAGGAGAAAACUAGUUAUGAGCUUGUAUACUAGGUUGAAGAAACUAUCCGUGAUGCCCUUAACUCAUCCAUCGAAGGCAUCAAGGGAUUUGCCCAUUCUGUGUCCCUCACCAAGGAGACCAUCUUUCCAGAAAAUCAGGCUUUAUUCUUCACUAGUGCUACUGAAAUUGUAAAGAAGCUUCAGUUGUAUAACAUUUCAGUCUGUGUAAAUUUGUUUACUAAUGAGUUUGUAUCUUAAGCAUGGGACUUCUUCUCAGACCCAAUGGUGGAGAUAAAUACAUUUGUUAGCUCAACUAAUAUUGAUGGAGUCGUCACUGAAUUCCC